UACGUAGGGUGCGAGCGUUGUCCGGAAUUAUCGGGCGUAAAGGGCUCGUAGGCGGUCUGUUGCGUCGGGAGUGAAAACUCAGGGCUUAACCCUGAGCCUGCUUCCGAUACGGGCAGACUAGAGGUAUGCAGGGGAGAACGGAAUUCCUGGUGUAGCGGUGAAAUGCGCAGAUAUCAGGAGGAACACCGGUGGCGAAGGCGGUUCUCUGGGCAUUACCUGACGCUGAGGAGCGAAAGUGUGGGGAGCGAACAGG
rnacentral:rRNA from 1 species